AUUGAACGCUGGCGGCAGGCCUAACACAUGCAAGUCGAGCGAGCGGCGGACGGGUGAGUAAUGUCUGGGAAACUGCCUGAUGGAGGGGGAUAACUACUGGAAACGGUAGCUAAUACCGCAUACCAUCGGAUGUGCCCCGAUGGGAGUAGCUAGUAGGUGGGGUAAAGGCUCACCUAGGCGACGAUCCCUAGCUGGUCUGAGAGGAGGACCAGCCACACUGGAACUGGGAAACGGUCCAGACUCCUACGGGAGGCAGCAGUGGGGAAUAUUGCACAAUGGGCGCAAGCCUGAUACAGCCAUGCCGCGUGUAUGAAGAAGGCCUUCGGGUUGUAAAGUACUUUCAGCGGGGAGGCGUUACCCGCAGAAGAAGCACCGGCUAACUCCGUGCCAGCAGCCGCGGUAAUUC
rnacentral:rRNA from 1 species